CCUACGGGAGGCAGCAGUGAGGAAUAUUGGUCAAUGGACGAGAGUCUGAACCAGCCAAGUAGCGUGAAGGAUGACUGCCCUAUGGGUUGUAAACUUCUUUUAUAUGGGAAUAAAACGUUCCACGUGUGGGAUUUUGUAUGUACCAUAUGAAUAAGGAUCGGCUAACUCCGUGCCAGCAGCCGCGAUAAUACGGAGGAUCCGAGCGUUAUCCGGAUUUAUUGGGUUUAAAGGGAGCGUAGGUGGAUUGUUAAGUCAGUUGUGAAAGUUUGCGGCUCAACCGUAAAAUUGCAGUUGAAACUGGCAGUCUUGAGUACAGUAGAGGUGGGCGGAAUUCGUGGUGUAGCGGUGAAAUGCUUAGAUAUCACGAAGAACUCCGAUUGCGAAGGCAGUUCACUGGACUGCAACUGACACUGAGGCUCGAAAGUGUGGGUAUCAAACAGGAUUAGAUACCCGUGUAGUC
rnacentral:rRNA from 1 species